rnacentral:rRNA from 1 species
UACAGAGGUCCCGAGCGUUGUUCGGAUUCAUUGGGCGUAAAGGGUGCGUAGGCGGCGGGGUAAGUUUGAUGUGAAAUUCCGGGGCUCAACCCUGGCAUGGCAUUGAAUACUACCUUGCUAGAGUACCGGAGAGGAAACUGGAAUUUACGGUGUAGCAGUGAAAUGCGUAGAGAUCGUAAGGAAGACCAGUGGCGAAGGCGAGUUUCUGGACGGUAACUGACGCUGAGGAGCGAAAAGCGUGGGGAGCGAACAGG